rnacentral:rRNA from 1 species
CCUACGGGGGUCAGCAGUGGGGAAUAUUGGGCAAUGGGCGCAAGCCUGACCCAGCAAUGCCGCGUGAAGGAAGAAGGCUUUCGGGUUGUAAACUUCUUUGACAGGGGAAGAGCAGAAGACGGUACCCUGAAAACAAGCCACGGCUAACUACGUGCCAGCAGCCGCGGUAAUACGUAGGUGGCAAGCGUUGUCCGGAUUUACUGGGUGUAAAGGGCGUGUAGCCGGGAAGGCAAGUCAGAUGUGAAAUCCGGAGGCUCAACCUCCGAAUUGCAUUUGAAACUGUUUUUCUUGAGUACUGGAGAGGCAGACGGAAUUCCUUGUGUAGCGGUGAAAUCCGUAGAUAUCUGGAGGAACAUCAGUGGCGAAGGCGACUAUCUGGCACAUAACUGACGCUGAGGAGCGAAAGCGUGGGUAGCAAACAGGAUUAGAUACCCCUGUAGUC